AGUAAUGAGCAUGUCCUGGAUGGUGAGAGUCCUUAAUGAGAGAUGUUAUUUCUUGCAGCAACGGCUUUUGAAGAUGUUCUUGAUGGAGGGGAGGCUUAUGUGCACGAUGGAGGCAUUGGAUCAGUCUUCAGUAUUCCAUGGAAGCAAUAUCAGCGGUGACAGUCAACAGCUACAUGAUGGUGGCCUCUGGUGUGUUCUGAAGCAGUUUCAAAUGAUUCCACUCAACUGAAUCUUGAAAGUACCUUCGGUGCUGUCGCAAGAUCGAAGAAGAUGGAAGUGCAUAGCUGCCAACUCUGGAUUCGGGAUGGCACCCACUGACUGACUGACCUUAAAAUAUACAAGUUUACUUCCAACUGUUGGCUAGCUGGUGUAAUUCACUGUGUUCAGCUCACGUUCUGUUAUCAAUUGAAAAUGGGCAUCCUGCCUAGUAGAAUAUUUGUAGAAUCAUUAUAGACAGUAACCCCAGCAAUUGGCUUUAAGAACUAUGCUGAAACCUUCUCUACCACAAAAGCUAUCUGGCCAAUUAAACUCUGGAAAUAGAUGCAGAAUGUUCAAGAGAUAGGCAAUUGGAUAGAGAUCUCUGUAGCGAUCAGCUUGGUAUCUGUUUGUUUACCAGUCACACUGGUAUAACUGUGAAGGGACGAAAUUAGAUUGUGGCAUUAUUGGCUCAGCAAGCUUAUUUUAUGACUGGAUUCUUUUGCAGAUACCUGUUCUACAUUGUUAGCUACUUACAGCAGAGAUAUUUUAGGUCUGAAUAUUCACCUAAUUGAUCUUACACUGCACAGGAGAAAGGUAACUAAGAUUGUUAUUCUAGACUGCCACCUAGAAGACUCUGUGAGUGGAGACACAGAGACUGCCAAUAAUAGAAAAAGGAGCCACAGGCAAUUGGCUGGAAGAAUUCAACAAAUCAAGCAAGGAGGGAAAGGAAAUUGUCAACAUUUUGGAUUGAAGGCCUGCAUCAGGACAUUGACCAGUCAGAAUCAUAAAUUCAGUUUCACGAGGAUACUUGCUGUCUGAAACUUUCUAUGAAUGAAAAUCCACAUAAUCAAAUCAGAACAUAUCCACAUCAGCAGCAGAGCAAAUAUUUAAGAAAAUUGAGCUAUACUUAACAAACGGCUUCUGAAAGCAAAUUUUUUGAGUUCUUUGCCUUAACCAUAUUGCAUCCAUAUUAAGUUAAGCAUGUA